CCCUCCCCUCCCCCCAUCAUGUGACCGCAGCCUGGACUCUAGGCUUGUUUUUCCCCUCAGCUCAGCCUCAACGCGCAGGCGCCUCGGAGCCCAUUCAUUCGAAAUGCGUAACAAUGAGCCCCGGGGCCCAGCGGCUCCGCGAGCUUCCCGGCUCGGCCCGAGCCCCUCUCGGCCCCAGUGGAGGCGGCGCUUCAUUGGGGUCCCCCACCCCCGACCGGCCCCCCCACUCGGGGCCAACCACCGACCCUCCGCCCACACUCGCGGAGUUGAAGUCAAACUUUCCUGGGCAGCCCCGGCGCCGCGUCGGCCCCUUCCCCCGCCCAGGCCCGCCCCAUCUCCGCACCCGGCCGGGCCACCCACCUCGCAACCCGGCCCCGAGCGCCGACCUCGCCUACUCCUCUCAGCCCCCACCUCCGAGACCCCCUCGGGCCGCGCCGCCGCGAAGCCCAGCUUUGGCCUCUUCUCUUCCUCUAGGCCUCUCGUAGCACUCGGAGAGCCCCAGUCUCUCGCAGCACCCAUUUCGGGCCAUAAACAGGCACAGUCGUUCGCUGCUCCAAGUUUGGCAGGAGGCCAAGCUCACAUACCUUGGUAAGGCAGUCUGAUGAUUACAUGUGGCUAUCCCUAGGAAGAGACCACCUUCUCUCUGUUUGUUCCUGGGUGAUGACCAAGGUGGAAGAGGGUGUGGAGUUAUGGUAGCCUCCCCGCACCAGAUGAGGAAAGCAGCCUACAAGAGAGAAUCACAGGAUACAGAUGGAGAGAUUCCUAACAGUUCCAGCUCCUCUUACAGCCCACCUACCUUCUUGCCGUCCCUGGCGGCUUGAUGAUUUUGUGACCACCUCACCCCACCACUAUUUCAAUAAACUUUCAUUUUCACUUG